rnacentral:rRNA from 1 species
UACGGGGGGAGCAAGCGUUGUUCGGAUUUACUGGGCGUAAAGGGCGCGUAGGCGGUCAGCACAAGUCAGUUGUGAAUCUCCGGGCUUAACUCGGAAAGGUCAACUGAUACUGUGCGACUAGAGUGCGGAAGGGGCAACUGGAAUUCUCGGUGUAGCGGUGAAAUGCGUAGAUAUCGAGAGGAACACCUGCGGCGAAGGCGGGUUGCUGGGCCGACACUGACGCUGAUGCGCGAAAGCCAGGGGAGCGAACGGG